rnacentral:lncRNA from 1 species
GCCAGGCACUGGACUAAGUUCUGUGAAUAGAGAGAAAGGCAAGACAGAUUCAGUGGGAGAGACAGCAUUGAAGCCAUCAUGUACAAACAAGCCAUCUAUGGGAUAAACUGGAAAUAAUCAACAGAGAGAAGGCACAAGAAAUAAGAGGGAAGGAAAUUUAGGGAGAAGCUGGGCUAAGCAAGAUAACCUGAUGGAAUGUGGGACUAGUUGCUUCAACUUCGUGAUGGAGUGGAAAGAGCUGUGGGUUUGA